GCCCACGUAGCUCAGUUGGUAGAGCGCAUCCUUGGUAAGGAUGAGGUCACCGGUUCAAUCCCGGUCGGUGGCUCCA
rnacentral:tRNA from 1 species